rnacentral:rRNA from 1 species
UACGAAGGGGGCUAGCGUUGCUCGGAAUCACUGGGCGUAACGCGCACGUAGGCGGCUUUUUAAGUCAGGGGUGAAAUCCUGGAGCUCAACUCCAGAACUGCCUUUGAUACUGAGAAGCUUGAGUCCGGGAGAGGUGAGUGGAACUGCGAGUGUAGAGGUGAAAUUCGUAGAUAUUCGCAAGAACACCAGUGGCGAAGGCGGCUCACUGGCCCGGUACUGACGCUGAGGUGCGAAAGCGUGGGGAGCAAACGGG